GAGCGGCGAACGGGUGAGUAACACGUGAGUAACCUGCCCCUGACUUUGGGAUAAGCCCGGGAAACUGGGUCUAAUACCGGAUACGACCAGCCCUGGCAUCGGGUGCUGGUGGAAAGUUUUUUCGGUUGGGGAUGGACUCGCGGCCUAUCAGCUUGUUGGUGGGGUAAUGGCCUACCAAGGCGACGACGGGUAGCCGGCCUGAGAGGGCGACCGGCCACACUGGGACUGAGACACGGCCCAGACUCCUACGGGAGGCAGCAGUGGGGAAUAUUGCGCAAUGGGCGAAAGCCUGACGCAGCGACGCCGCGUGGGGGAUGACGGCCUUCGGGUUGUAAACCUCUUUCAGCAGGGACGAAGUUGACGUGUACCUGCAGAAGAAGCGCCGGCUAACUACGUGCCAGCAGCCGCGGUAAUACGUAGGGCGCAAGCGUUGUCCGGAAUUAUUGGGCGUAAAGAGCUCGUAGGUGGCUUGUCACGUCUGCCGUGAAAGCCCAUGGCUUAACUGUGGGUCUGCGGUGGAUACGGGCUGGCUAGAGGUAGGUAGGGNCAAGCGGAAUUNCNU
rnacentral:rRNA from 1 species